GAUGAACGCUGGCGGCGUGCCUAAUACAUGCAAGUCGAGCGAACAGAUGAGGAGCUUGCUCCUCUGACGUUAGCGGCGGACGGGUGAGUAACACGUGGAUAACCUACCUAUAAGACUGGGAUAACUUCGGGAAACCGGAGCUAAUACCGGAUAAUAUAUUGAACCGCAUGGUUCAAUAGUGAAAGACGGUUUUGCUGUCACUUAUAGAUGGAUCCGCGCCGCAUUAGCUAGUUGGUAAGGUAACGGCUUACCAAGGCAACGAUGCGUAGCCGACCUGAGAGGGUGAUCGGCCACACUGGAACUGAGACACGGUCCAGACUCCUACGGGAGGCAGCAGUAGGGAAUCUUCCGCAAUGGGCGAAAGCUUGACGGAGCAACGCCGCGUGAGUGAUGAAGGUCUUCGGAUCGUAAAACGCUGUUAUUAGGGAAGAACAAAUGUGUAAGUAACUAUGCACGUCUUGACGGUACCUAAUCAGAAAACCACGGCUAACUACGU
rnacentral:rRNA from 1 species